rnacentral:lncRNA from 1 species
GGAAACUAAAUUUUUUCGACUGAAAAUGUACUAUGCUAUAGCAUGCACUAACAUAGUACAAAUAUAGUUUAAUGAAAUUCGGCCUUGGCAUUCGCUAAAUCAUAUAAUGCGAUCGAGUAAAAAGUUUCAUUAGUCACUGAACUUCACCUAUUGUCACGAUGUGGUCACCGAACUUCCUUAUGCUGCUGAGUGGUCACUGAACUUACACAAAUCUGCCUCCAUCCCUCACUCUCCAAACUUCCAUUUCAAUCCUUGCUGAUAUGAUAUCACGGUAGCUGACUCGACGACAAACAACGUUUAAUUCCUCAGUCUCUAUACGCAAUUGAAAUUGAGCCCCAAAUCACAGAAAUCAGAGAACCCUAAAUCGUGAAUGCCAUAAAUCGAUCUUUGACCAUUGAACACCAUCUCCAAAUUCAGGUGAAUCCCAACCCCGCAAACCCACUAUCAUGGCCAACCACGAUCGAAAUACGAAUCCCCAAGCCCAACAAAUUUCAAACUUUUUACUCCUGUCUCCGACCCUUGGCGAUUGGUUGCUGAACGACAGAAAUUGGUUGCUGAAUCAUAGAAAUCAAGUUGUGCUCAUCACAACUUCAUCUGCAAAGUUUGAAUUUCCUGAAGCUCAACAAAUUUUGCGAAUGAUGAAGGUAUUUCCAAGGUUGUAGGGACGUGAAAUGUGCUCUUUACCGUAUUUUUGUUGGAAUAAGGUGGAGGAAAUGCUUCUAAAUUUAUGGACUAGUUUACAUUCACAUGCCUGUCUAUCUUUUAUUCAUUUUGCUAUGUGGAAAUUCUAUAAUCAAGAGUUCUGGGCUAAUACUGUUUCCGGUGGAAAGCUAUCAAUUUGUGCAUACCCUAGGUCAGUAAUGGACCGUUUAUGGUGUAUUCUUGUAGUGUUUUGUUUUCUUUCUAUGGUUGUUCAUAGGAGCAUUUUCUGAUGAUCCCUAUUGUAUGGGGGUGUUAAGGAUGAUAGCUGGCUGGUUACAAGACAAAAUUCUAAAGGUUGAAUCUGAAUGUUACCGAGGGUAAACUGAUCUAUCUUUCUUUCUAUCUAUCUUGCUAUCUAUAUGUAUACAUUAUCCCUACCCUAGCUUCAUAAAGUGGCCAUACACUGCCUAUCUCGAAAUGAAUAUCUUGUUGGAUUGUAUCUAUUGUUUCACGAAGAUUAUUUCAUGAAGAUAAUGUAAUUAGGAAUUCUUUCUUGCAAUUCUUUCAUAAAGAUUAUUUUCUUAUACCUAUUUUGCAGAAACAAUUUGUAUUAUCCUUUAUUAUCUUACAUGUAUUCCUACUUCAAUUAUUACAGUGUUAUGGCAGGGAAGAACAAAGGCAUAUGCCACAAUUGUAGGAAGCUCGGGCACUACUUGUCAGACUGCCCAACAAAGAAACGAUGUCCAAACUGUGGCCAGGGAUUCGAGAAAUGUAUGGAGGUGGAGAAAAAUACUUCGAACAAAGGGAGAUUGUUCUUAUGCCGUAUUAGAGAUUGUGGUCACUUCGAGUGGAAGAAUGAAGAGCACUGCAAUGUGGAAUCGAGAUAGUUUGUUCGGGUAAUUGCCAAGCUAAAUAUCCGUGGGAAGAUCUGUUGUGUAUGUUCAACAAAUGUGCUCAAAUCACAACAGAAAAGAACAUCAAGAUAUCUAUCAACAUUGCCAUGCGCAAAGGAAGGACAGUUGUGGAUGAUAAUGGAAAAAGAAAUGGGCUUACAGAGGAUAAUGGAAAAGGAAAAGGGGUUACCGAGAACAUUGGGAAAGGGAAGGGGAAAGUUCAAUGGCUUGAUUGUAUUUGUCCCAUCUAGUAAAUUAUGUAGGUUGUAAGACUUGGAUGUAAGUCGUUGACGUAGGACUAUUAUGUAAUCAUUUUUUAUCAAAUUAUGAAAUUCUUC